rnacentral:rRNA from 1 species
GAUGAACGCUGGCGGCGUGCCUAAUACAUGCAAGUCGAGCGAACGGACGAGAAGCUUGCUUCUCUGAUGUUAGCGGCGGACGGGUGAGUAACACGUGGAUAACCUACCUAUAAGACUGGGAUAACUUCGGGAAACCGGAGCUAAUACCGGAUAAUAUUUUGAACCGCAUGGUUCAAAAGUAAAAGACGGUCUUGCUGUCACUUAUAGAUGGAUCCGCGCUGCAUUAGCUAGUUGGUAAGGUAACGGCUUACCAAGGCAACGAUGCAUAGCCGACCUGAGAGGGUGAUCGGCCACACUGGAACUGAGACACGGUCCAGACUCCUACGGGAGGCAGCAGUAGGGAAUCUUCCGCAAUGGGCGAAAGCCUGACGGAGCAACGCCGCGUGAGUGAUGAAGGUCUUCGGAUCGUAAAACUCUGUUAUUAGGGAAGAAUAUAUGUGUAAGUAACUGUGCACAUCUUGACGGUACCUAAUCAGAAAGCCACGGCUAACUACGUGCCAGCAGCCGCGGUAAUACGUAGGUGGCAAGCGUUAUCCGGAAUUAUUGGGCGUAAAGCGCGCGUAGGCGGUUUUUUAAGUCUGAUGUGAAAGCCCACGGCUCAACCGUGGAGGGUCAUUGGAAACUGGAAAACUUGAGUGCAGAAGAGGAAAGUGGAAUUCCGUGUGUAGCGGUGAAAUGCGCAGAGAUAUGGAGGAACACCAGUGGCGAAGGCGACUUUCUGGUCUGUAACUGACGCUGAUGUGCGAAAGCGUGGGGAUCAAACAGGAUUAGAUACCCUGGUAGUCCACGCCGUAAACGAUGAGUGCUAAGUGUUAGGGGGUUUCCGCCCCUUAGUGCUGCAGCUAACGCAUUAAGCACUCCGCCUGGGGAGUACGACCGCAAGGUUGAAACUCAAAGGAAUUGACGGGGACCCGCACAAGCGGUGGAGCAUGUGGUUUAAUUCGAAGCAACGCGAAGAACCUUACCAAAUCUUGACAUCCUUUGACAACUCUAGAGAUAGAGCCUUCCCCUUCGGGGGACAAAGUGACAGGUGGUGCAUGGUUGUCGUCAGCUCGUGUCGUGAGAUGUUGGGUUAAGUCCCGCAACGAGCGCAACCCUUAAGCUUAGUUGCCAUCAUUAAGUUGGGCACUCUAAGUUGACUGCCGGUGACAAACCGGAGGAAGGUGGGGAUGACGUCAAAUCAUCAUGCCCCUUAUGAUUUGGGCUACACACGUGCUACAAUGGACAAUACAAAGGGCAGCGAAACCGCGAGGUCAAGCAAAUCCCAUAAAGUUGUUCUCAGUUCGGAUUGUAGUCUGCAACUCGACUACAUGAAGCUGGAAUCGCUAGUAAUCGUAGAUCAGCAUGCUACGGUGAAUACGUUCCCGGGUCU